GUGGGGAAUCUUGCGCAAUGGGCGAAAGCCUGACGCAGCCAUGCCGCGUGAAUGAUGAAGGUCUUAGGAUUGUAAAAUUCUUUCACCGGGGACGAUAAUGACGGUACCCGGAGAAGAAGCUCCGGCUAACUUCGUGCCAGCAGCCGCGGUAAUACGAAGGGGGCUAGCGUUGCUCGGAAUUACUGGGCGUAAAGGGCGCGUAGGCGGACAGCUUAGUCAGAGGUGAAAGCCCAGGGCUCAACCUUGGAAUUGCCUUUGAUACUGGCUGUCUUGAGUUUGGGAGGGGUGAGUGGAACUCCGAGUGUAGAGGUGAAAUGCGUAGAUAUUCGGAAGAACACCAGUGGCGAAGGCGACUCACUGGCCCAAUACUGACGCUGAGGCGCGAAAGCGUGGGGAGCAAACAGGAUUAGAUACCCCGGUAGUCC
rnacentral:rRNA from 1 species